UCUCCUUCUCUAGAUCACGACCCUCUCCAUCUCUGUCUCCCUCUCUUGAUCUCCCUCUUCCUAUCCACCUCUCAAUCUACAAACCUUACACCACAUCCACUAGCCGCUAAAACCCUGUCGCAUCUCCAGUCAUCAACAGCAAUAGAUUGUUGUUGAGCUCCCACCUGUUGCCAAUUUAAAGAGGCGACGGCCAUCACUACAAGGUGCUCCUAGGAGCAUUCUAGCAUUGGCAUUGGUUUUCCAGGGGAAUAUUGGUUGAGCAUAUUAGAAAGGGAAGUUAUGGCAACAAGCAGUGCCUGGCAAGCCAUGGCUUCAUGUUGGGACAGGGUGAAAACUUCAGGGUUGAAGUCGAGGCAGUUUACCAUGGCUUGCAUCUGAUUCAUUGUAGCACUUUCAUCUUUUUGGGUUGGUGAAAAAGCUAAUUGUGGACUUGUUCUAUUUUCCAUUUCUUCAGUAGGGAGAAGAGUUGUAAUGGGUGAGAUCAUUUCAGGAAUCAUCUGAAAAAAUUGAGUGGAAAUAUUUUGGGAAUCAGUGUUGCAAAUAACUAAAUGCCAUACACCUGGCUGUAAUACAACCCUCCCUUUCCCAGCAGCAUGUCACACAUGCAA